rnacentral:pre_miRNA from 1 species
CAUGCACUGGUGGGGUCCCUCGGCCUGGCCUGCGCCCUCUGGCAAUCCGGGACCCCUUGGGGGAUGUCGGACUGCCAGUUUGGGCCCAAUUCCCACAGGCCAGGCCGAGGGACCCCACCAGUGCACA